UUAUAAAAAUUCUCUCAUCACCGGAGCAUCUCUCCUCAUUUUUUUUCACCCUCAGCAAAAGAACAAGCUGCCACCGUGCUUCUCCACUCCGGUUGGCUCCGAUAAGGGUUGCAGAGACUACCCAGAAGCCUAAAUGACACGAAAGCUUCCCCCUUUUACUCAACAGUAACCCUUGAGAGAACGCUACCACCACCCUUGGCCAUAAAUCAGCCAACCCAUGCUACGACCACCACCAGCGGUGGUCGGGUUAGACAAAGCCUAGACCUAUACCUAAAAAUUGACUUCUCUUCUACCCCAAAACUACCAAAAUCAACACAUGCAAGCUUAGAUUCGACCCCUCAUCUUCUACCUUUAACUGCUGAAAGGCUCAACCUUUUUGCUACCUCGACGACUGACGACUGACAACCGACGGGACCGAAGCAAAACCCAGGAGAAGCUUUUCUUUGGUUUGAAUCCUCUGCGUUUUUCUUCGAUGGUGGAAGGAGUUUCCUCUUCUCCAAUGAAAUCAACCGCCGCGGUUUGCAAAGAAAGGUUGAUGACGAAGCCUCUUUGCUGGUGUGGGUUUGAUACACCAUCUGCUGCUGAGAGGAUGAGCACCAUUCCAAAUGCACAAUUGGCUUUUCUGGAAUGUUGGUGACGAGGCUCGAUUGUUGCUGUGAUUGCUCACGUGGAGGAGAGGGGACGUCUCUAUUGGGAUUUGUCGUUGGGUUUAGUAAUGGGUCUCAACUGGGUCUGGGUCAUUUUGUUUGGGACAAAUAGAUUGGGUUUCAGUUUAGGUUUUGAACGUCUAUUUGGGUUUUAUAAAUGGGGGUUAUGUAUAAAUGG